rnacentral:rRNA from 1 species
CCUGUUCCCAUGCCGAACACAGAAGUUAAGCUCUUUAGCGCCGAUGGUAGUCGGACUUACGUUCCGCGAGAGUAGGACGUUGCCAGGC